UUACAAUAUGUGGAAUGUACAUGUGCCAAAGCACAUUCUUAUCUACAAUCACAUAUUGCAUGUUUUCAGUUGCAUCAUUACUUAGAAUGGAAUGACUGCUCAUUGGUGCUACUGUGUUAAAUUGUCUUAUUCUUUUAACUGGAAAAUGAUGUGAUUCAUAUUGUAUAAUCUGAUUUAUGUCAAUAAUAUCUCUUUAUCCAUGGCAUUCAAAAAAAUAUAUUUAAUAACUACCUGAUCAUCGUGUGAUGAUAACUGCUUGGCAUAAUCCAGGUGAAAAUUCAAAAUAAACUUCAGGGAGGAAUAAAAGGAGCGACUUUUUUCUCUAAGUAGGUUGAACGGAAACGGAGUUUUCCUCCAGAAGAGACCGUAUGUACCGUAUAUAUGCGAAAACAGAUCGCGGAUUACGUGGACAGAGAAGAGAUAUAUAGGAUAGAAUAAAAUGUGACAGCGGCUCGUGGAAUCCGCGUGUGAAACCUGAUAACAGGCCGUCUAAAUAAGGAGUUGCUCCCCUCUACCAUGAGAUCCGCACAACAGCGAGGAGCACACAGCUUAUCACUGCCAUUUUAAAUCCCCCGUGAGUCGGCUUAUCUCGCGGACACAUCUCUUGCCAAACUUUCUCCCGUGGCACGCGCACAUACACACACGCACCCUUGAGAUAGUGAGGUUGAAUAGAGAUAGAAGACAAUAUACAGAGAGAGAGCAAGCGAAGAGCGAGCGAAACGAAGGAAAAGUGGAUAGGAGUGCGCGUAGGAGAGAGGGAGACACACCGACGAGUGCGAGGACCACAGAUGGUCGCGUCUGAUUUAUCUUCGUCUCGGCACGAGGACCCGGUGAAAACUCUAGACGAGACUCACCGUAAUCGAGAGGCACGUCAGUAUCUUAUCGGCGAAGUUCCGCUGGGCGCCUUCCUCUUCGAAUAUGGACAAUUUGACACCGUCCGACGAUAAACAAAGGCGACACAGCUCGUAGAACUUGGGCGGUACAUCGAACAUAAUUGUGAGCUCCGGCUACGUUGCGCCUUGCGUAAAGCGCGAGUCAUCAAGAGGUAGACUCUUUUCUUGGCCGACGUACUAUCUUUCUCCACUGCCACUACGCGUUUAGCGACAAGGAAGGGUACGCGAUCACUUAUCACAGUCACCGCCGCGGCUCAUUGUCAGCGGCACAGUACACACGGUCAUACAGUUAUGUUUCCACAUAGAAGGGAAACUACCAAGGGAAACCGAAUGUUUCUCCGACUUCCUUUCUAUGAUCCUGCUCGCUAGGGGGCGUUGACGAACAUUUCCGAGGUUACCGAAUUUCACUGGAAUCUCAGACUGAACCUGAUCGAAUCCAUCUCUUGUUCCCUUUCUUGUCCCUCUCUAUCUUGUCUUUUUUUAUAGUAGUUAUAUUUAUCAAGAUAACUAACUAAUCUUAUGAAUAAUAAGAAAACGUACUUGAUACUUGUGAAUAUAUAAUUAGAACUAAUAAC